GAUCAAUGAUGAAACCAAUCCCGAAGCUGAUAACCUGGAGAAAGGCAUGUACGGAUUCGGCUUCUGAGAC
ensembl:snoRNA SNORD50B small nucleolar RNA, C/D box 50B